rnacentral:rRNA from 1 species
UGGGGAAUAUUGGACAAUGGGGGCAACCCUGAUCCAGCAAUGCCGCGUGUGUGAAGAAGGUCUUCGGAUUGUAAAGCACUUUCGACGGGGACGAUGAUGACGGUACCCGUAGAAGAAGCCCCGGCUAACUUCGUGCCAGCAGCCGCGGUAAUACGAAGGGGGCUAGCGUUGCUCGGAAUGACUGGGCGUAAAGGGCGUGUAGGCGGUUUACACAGUCAGAUGUGAAAUCCCCGGGCUUAACCUGGGAGCUGCAUUUGAUACGUGUAGACUAGAGUGUGAGAGAGGGUUUGUGGAAUU